rnacentral:rRNA from 1 species
AUUGAACGCUGGCGGCAGGCCUAACACAUGCAAGUCGAACGAGUGGCGGACGGGUGAGUAAUGUCUGGGAAACUGCCCGAUGGAGGGGGAUAACUAGUGGAAACGGUAGCUAAUACCGCAUACCAUCGGAUGUGCCCAGAUGGGAUUAGCUAGUAGGUGGGGUAACGGCUCACCUAGGCGACGAUCCCUAGCUUGUCUGAGAGGAUGACCAGCAACACGGGAAAUGAGACACGGGCCAGACUCCUCAGGGAGGCAGCAGUGGGUGAUAUUGCACAAUGGGCGAAAGCCUGAUGCAGCCAUGCGGCGUGUAUGAAGAAGGCCUUCGGGUUGUAAAGUACUUUCAGCGAGGAGGCGUUACUCGAAGAAGAAGCACCGGCUAACUCCGUGCCAGCAGCCGCGGUAAUUC